CGUCGCGUGGUGUCCGGUGCG
rnacentral:siRNA from 1 species